rnacentral:rRNA from 1 species
GGCGAACGCUGGCGGCGUGCUUAACACAUGCAAGUCGAACGGCAAGACCCUGCUUUUGUGGGGUUCUCGAUUGGCGAACGCGUGAGUAACACGUGAGUAACCUGCCCUUCACUUUCGUAUAACUUCAGGAAACCGGGGCUAAUACCGUAUAGGAUCUCCUGCUGCAUUGUGGGGGUUGGAAAGUUUCGGCGGUUGGGGAUGGACUGGCGGGUUAUCAGCUUGCUGGUGGGGUAGUGGCUUACCAACGCCGUGACGGGUCGCCGGCCGGGGAGAGUGACCAGCGACAUUGGGCCUGCGGUACGGCGCAGACGCGUAUGGGAGGCAGCAGUGGCGAACAUGACACAGCGAUACGAAGUGGGAUGAAGCAACGUCGCGUGUGUGAUGCCGGCCUGCGGGUUGAAAAACGCUGCAGCCUGAGACGAAGCGGGAGUGACGGUAAUGAGUAAAGAAGCACCGGCUAACUACGUG